AUGGCCGCGGCAAACCCGGGCAUGGUUCAUGUGGUCGAGCCUCAUGGGCACCAAACAACGGUUCAUGAAGGAAGGAAAGUCCGAGUAUUUGGCCGUGCAUUUUGGGCGUUGGAGCAAUGCGUGAGGGCUUUCGAACACUGUAGGCCGGUCAUCGCCAUUGAUGGCAUGUUUUUGACAGGACAAUACAAGGGCACCUUGUUGGUUGCGAUAGCAAGUGAUGCCAAUAACCGGGUGUUGCCAUUGGCAUUUGCUUUGGUUGAGGUGGAGAACAAUGACAACUGGGAGUGGUUUUUGCGUCUUUUGAGGACAAAGGUGUUACCCGCUCAAAGGGAAAUUUGUGUCAUAUCGGAUCGGCAUCCAGGAAUUCUUAACGCGGUGGAGAUUGACAUUCCCGGGCAUGCUCCGUUGCACCAUCGAUGGUGCAUGAGGCACUUUUGCUCGAACUUCUAUAGGGCAUGUGGCCUUAAGGAGUUGGCCGAUGAUCUUCAAGAUUGUUGUCUCGCUUUCUCCGACAAGCGCUUCACCACUUUGUACAACAAAUUGCUUGCACACAAAAAACUUAAUCCCGGGGGUCAAGAAUUUCUCAAUAGGCACAUUCAAUACCGGAACAAGUGGGCACGUGCUUUUGAUGAAGAUGGCCGGAGAUACGGUCAAAUGACAAGCAAUAUGGCCGAAUGCUUCAAUAGGGUGCUCAAAGGUGCACGUGGAUUACCCGUGACGAUAAUAGUUCAAUACACAUUUGACAAGAUGAAUGCGUAUGGAAACGGAUGCACAGAUAGCGGGUGA
rnacentral:rRNA from 1 species